AUGGUCACCUAUAUUGCAAGUUCAUUGUUAUGCAGUUUAGACAAGAGUGUCAACGCCUCAAACUGCCUUUCCAGAACAGUCACAUCACUGCUGCCAUGCCAUUCAUCUGGCAACGAAGAGCACCUAAGGUGCUGAGGUGGCAAAAUCCUUUAGCAGGAAGAAGUUUGACCUGUUGCAUUGUGCCUAGUGCUAGCUUUUCUGGAGAAUGAUAUCUGGUUGAGUGUGCAGGUGGUAUCAGGCAGCUGGCAUAGGAAGCCAUUUUCCUACUGAGGAAUGAUCACUGGAUUGCUGCCAAGGACAGGGUGUUCCAGUGUCAAGACUAUGAAAACUCCUGGAGAGCUAUUAUGCUUAUGUGGGCUGAUCAGCCAAUAGAACAGUGAGGAAAGCAUAGUAACUGUUCAGCAGCAGAAAGGUGACAGUUACACUUGGUAUUAUUUUAAUUUUUUUAAAUCAAGUUUUAUUUUAUACAUUUCUGGAAAACAUAAGGUUCUAGUGGUCAGCUUGUAGUCAGUGCAAGCCAAAAAUCCUGAUUAUGGUCUUGGUCCAUUAGGCAUCCAAAAAGCCAUGAGAAGUGAGGCAGUUGAAGAGAGAGCAUUCUCAGUAGUGGUCCCCCAGUUAUGGAAUCUCACCCGUCUCUCCCAACCAGAUAUUCAUCUAGCACAAAGGUAAUUAUAAUUUUGGCCUCUAACCAAGAUAAUUUUAUUCUCACAGGCUUUAGAAUCCGAACACUGAAAUGCAUGUUCCCUCUAUUAACAUGUUUCUAGAUUUUAUUUUUCUGUGAACUUGCUUUAAAAAAAAAAAAAUCUGGAAGCAUCACAGAAAUGCAGUGUGUCAAUAAAUAUAAUUUAGCUUUGAAUAAAGAAACCUGCUCUUGCCCAAAGCUGUGCAUCCUAUAAUUAGAGAUGGGGAAACUUGCAGGCACUUUUUAUAUGUGUAUAAAAAAUACAGCUCCAAGAACCAUCAGCUGGAGCUUUCGUGCAGAAGAUAUACAUUUAGAAUUUGGAGCCUAGUAAUUAAUUUGAGUACCAGAGGUGAAUGGUUACAGUUCUUCUUCCCAAAAAGUGUAUACCAUAUGCUUUCUUAAUUUCAGUGGGAGAAUUUUUUUGUUUCUGUUAGUGACUGUUAGAGAAUUGAAAAUCAAAAGUCCUUGCAGAAUGAUGGCAAAUCAUCCAGAGAGCUACCUUCUGUCCAUCUUUACCUUGGAUAAAUAGACACCUUUUGCUCUGAGCAUCAUAAUGAUAGUAUCUAAAAUAUUUUAUUAGUGUGAGGCUAGGAAGAAGAAAUUCUGUUUUCACAAGCAGAGAAUGUAAACAUAGGGCUGCUGCCAUUUCAAAUUAAUUCCAAUGUUUUAAUGUGUUGCACGAGUUGCAGAGUAGUCCUUUUUCAUAUGUUAUUAAGUAUUCUAUAAUGACUAUGUAUAAGCAAAGGGGAUGCAUCAGAAUAGCAAGUGUUUGCAUUCCCCCUUCCAUUAUGCCACCAAUACACACUAAAUUCCACAUCUGAAAUCAACCAUAUGGGUAUAUUUGCAUAUGUUCAGGCAGCUCUAUAUCUUGUGUUCUUGGACACCUGGGAAACGUACCAGUAUUGAUUCAAGCAGAGCUUGGGCCAGUGGGCAGGCUGGCUGGGGCAAUGUAUGUUAAAUGUUUGAUGCAUAGGUGAAGAAAAAUGUGGCUCA